ensembl:lncRNA
GUGGGUGUAUUAAUGAGAGCCAGGUGUGUGUAAUGAUGAGUGCCAGGUGUACGUAAUGAUGAGUGCCAGGUGUGCGUAAUAAUGAGAGCCAGGUGUGCGUAAUAAUGAGUGCCAGGUGGGUGUAAUGAUGAGUGCCAGGUGGGUGUAAUGAUGAGUGCCAGGUGUGUGUAAUGAUGAGUGCCAGGUGUGUGUAAUGAUGGGUGCCAGGUGUGUGUAAUGAUGAGUGCCAGGUGGGUGUAAUGAUGAGAGCCAGGUGUGCGUAAUAAUGAGAGCCAGGUGUGCGUAAUAAUGAGUGCCAGGUGGGUGUAAUGAUGAGUGCCAGGUGGGUGUAAUGAUGAGUGCCAGGUGGGUGUAAUGAUGAGUGCCAGGUGUGUGUAAUGAUGAGUGCCAGGUGGGUGCAAUGAUGAGUGCAAGGUGUGUGUAAUGAUGGGUGCCAG